rnacentral:lncRNA from 1 species
CAGUCAGUCAAGGCCUUACUGUCUGAAGAUAUGCUCGGUACAUAGAAGGAAUCUUUCCAAAUAGUCACCAUCAUCCUUGAUAUUAAUGUAUAUCUGUAACAAAUGCUUUAAGAAGAUGUAUGCUUUUCAUAGUUGGUCUUGCCUGAAGUUAUUAAGUAAUCCAUCAAUUUCUGAAAUCCUGGCAAAGGGAAAUCAUGCUCACAAAGUGUUUCACUAAUACAGAAGAUCUGGAGCAGGCUGUUUCACUGGAUGGUAGCAGGUCUGUGUUUACUGGUGUACACUUGUUUUCGAAUAAAUAGUACCUUCACAAGAAAACCCUUCUUGAUGAGCUAGCUGUGCUCUCCAGGUAGUUUUUCUUACGCUCCUUUUGCUUCCUUAUUAUCUCAUGAAUACUGUUCUCAGUAGCUGCUAUUAAAUACAACUAAUCUGCCUAGUUUUGCUAUCAGGUUUCUCAGACCCACCUUCAUGACUCAGCAGCUGUCCUGAAGCACUCAAGUCCUUGUCUCCAUCCAUUGCCUUGUUGCACUAACAAGAAACAGCUUCAGGUCUGGUAAGUUCAAGAACAGUUGCCUAAGCAGCCAGUCCCGACGUUGUUUUCCUACAUAAUCCUCUGACUGCAGGAAAACUAGAAUCAAAGUGAAAGGUAAUGACAUUGUGAUAGUAUAAAGAUAGCAAGAAAAAAAAACCAAACAUAAGUAACAAAAUAAGAGCAGAUGCUUUCAAGUUUCCCACUCCUGAAUCCCCAACUGUAUGGCAUUCUCCCUUUCCUCUCCAUGGUUGUCCGUUUGCUCUCCAAGCUCUCUGUUCUUACUGCUGCUGCAACAUUGGCAAGUGCAAUCCAAUUCCUGGAUCUGUGUGUGAAGAGAGACUCUUUGAAGCUGGAGGCAGUGUCAUAUAGCGAUGCACCAUCCUCGAAGAAGAAUAGCUAUUGUAGUAUGGUACUCCACAUAGAUGAAUUGCUUGUUUUAGAAGAAGGAUAGCGAAGCCUGGGCAGUGCUUCAUGGCAAUGCUUUCAGCUCUGAUUAUAUAGUGCAUAGAAGAGUGCUGUGUGAAAUACGAGCAGCAUUCAGCGCUGUACUAGCUCUAACUCUGUUCAUCAAAUAAGUCAUCCUGUGAGUAGUACAAUGUGUAAAGCCUGAUUUUACACAAAGUUAUGUC